rnacentral:rRNA from 1 species
ACUCCACAUACGCAUCCUUUGCUGAGGAUACGGUUAACGGAGCGCAAGCGACGUUCAACCGCAAAAGAAGCAGAGGGGGCUUAGUGGUGGGGUGACUGCGUACCUUUUGUAUAAUGGGUCAGCGACUUAUAUUCUGUAGCAAGGUUAACCGUAUAGGGGAGCCGGAGGGAAACCGAGUCUUAAUUGGGCGUUAAGUUGCAGGGUAUAGACCCGAAACCCGGUGAUCUAGCCAUGGGCAGGUUGAAGGUUGGGUAACACUAACUGGAGGACCGAACCGACUAAUGUUGAAAAAUUAGCGGAUGACCUGUGGCUGGGGGUGAAAGGCCAAUCAAACCGGGAGAUAGCUGGUUCUCCCCGAAAGCUAUUUAGGUAGCGCCUCGUGAAUUCAUCUCCGGGGGUAGAGCACUGUUUCGGCUAGGGGGCCAUCCCGGCUUACCAACCCGAUGCAAACUGCGAAUACCGGAGAAUGUUAUCACGGGAGACACACGGCGGGUGCUAACGUCCGUCGUGAAGAGGGAAACAACCCAGACCGCCAGCUAAGGUCCCAAAGUCAUGGUUAAGUGGGAAACGAUGUGGGAAGGCCCAGACAGCCAGGAUGUUGGCUUAGAAGCAGCCAUCAUUUAAAGAAAGCGUAAUAGCUCACUGGUCGAGUCGGCCUGCGCGGAAGAUGUAACGGGGCUAAACCAU